GCGACGUGUAGGCGACGAAUUUAGUUCCAUGAAAAAGAGUACCUCUUUUCUUUAUUUUAUUAUGUUGGUGUCUGAACAGACUUGACAGUAUGAUUAUGGAAUAUUGGAAGGGUAACAUUGCCUCUUGAUUUUGGCAUAUCAAACUGACAGAUGCAUAUCUGCUUAGCUACAAGCAAGACCAUUGUUUGCUAUGCCUGUGGUACAUAUAUUUAACGAGAGUAGCCUCCCCUCCAUUAGCCCAUGUGCUUAGGAGAGUGGAUAAUUAAAAUUGCAGGUGGCGAAGUAUCAAUUUUAUUUACUUAAAUCCUGUCACAGAGGCUGUUCUCUUCAUGUCAGAGAUGCCCUCCUGGCUUGGAAUUGCUGUGUUCGUUGACGACUCGCAUGUCUCCUGGCUAUCCGCUCGAUGCUCUUCAAGUGGCAUAUGACCGAUGUUUUGUCACGUACCCCAGCUCCCACAGCUGUACAUCUUUGAAUGACCGAACUUGAAAACCCACUGUUCAGCAUAUGCACGGCACUGUGUAUGCGGCUGGUGAAAUUUCUAUGAUAUUUUGCUCUGGGAUGACUGUAAUCCGGACACGGCACGGGAAUCGCCAUCAGUCGUGAAGAAUCCAA